rnacentral:misc_RNA from 1 species
ACCAAACCACUUGCGUAACACUGCGCCAACUCCUAAAAAUUCACUGAGUUACCCAGGCCUAAUUUGUGCACUCUUUAUACUUGGCUCAAUUUGAUUCUUAUUUUACUUCACCUGAACGACACUAAACCUUAGUGGGGUUUUUUGUUUGUUUUGUGUAGUUUCAUUGUUUUGUCAUUGUGGUGCGAUGGAACUCACAGCGCCAUCUUUACAGACCGUAUGAUACUUAAUUCCUGAUUCGUGACUUUUUUGCGAUAAAUCCAGCGUGCAAUUUGAAGCCUUUUGAUCUUUGCGAGAUUUUCUUACGAUGUUUCCGCUUCGAAAAACAUCCUCGUUUGCAUAUACAGGGUGUUUCAUUCCACAAUACACUUUUUCCGGCUAUUUUGGAGCACAGUCAGGGCCGUAGAGGUCCUACGGCACAUGAGCUAAACCGGGCCGUAGUUCUACUUCCUCAUGGGCCCCAUUCGAUGAGGAUGGCAAUUUAAAAAUGAAUUUGAGCGUCAAUUUUCGCAUUAAGAUCCAGUUUAGUCGAGUUUGUGCAAACCGGAACGUUUGCCCGGUUAAACCAUUCAGAGCGUAGUUCAAGUCGCAUCUAUAUUUGUUUGAGACAGUCAAGGAAUUCCACGAAAUCAUACAUCAUGACCCCAAUUAGAAACAUGCCAGCACAGUUAAACAAAAUCGGAUGUUGUUCCGAACGUUCGGCACAUUGACGUUGGUGUUGUUCCAAACAAAAACCGUUAUCUGAUCGCACCCAUUCAUCAACAUAGGAUUGACUCGCUAAGCUGCGGUUUAAGUUCAUGGGGCUGCGCCCUUUUAUAUCUAAUCGCCAAAUCAAACUCUUGUCUGUUUUCAGCUGCAUUUAGGAGCCGGGGUGCGGCCAUGGAGAUGAACUCACUUUGCAGAUGAACUGCACGGCCGCACCCUUUAGUGAGGACGAUGGGCCGACACAGAUCCGCAAUCAGAUCGACUACUCCCUCAAAAUCGAGAUGGAGGUGGCGAAAAGAGGCGAAGCCCACCGGCCGGUCCGAGUCUACGCCGAUGGCGCUUUUGAUCUGUUCCAUCAGGGCCAUGCCCGCCUCCUCAGACAAGCCAAAAACGUCUUCCCAAACGUUUACUUGAUCGUUGGAGGUGAAUAUGAGCAUGCACUUAGCGGAUUAUCAUUGCGCUAGGAAAUUCCUGAGCGGGUUCAUCUGGAAAGUAGCUCGUAGGGUAGUCGCUCUUUUCCUCAUGCAAGAAGUCAUUUUCAUUGGAUGCUUUUUUAUGAAUGCUCUCCUGAUGCUUCUAGGCGCUAGACGGAACAUGAAAAAUUCGCAAUUCUAACCGAUGUUCUGGCCUUGAAUCGGAAAAUUCUCCAACAGAAAGCAUUUGACUACAAUCGUGUCCGGCUUGGACAGCAACCUUGUGGGAAUUUCGCUGCUGAAACGCCGAGCCGCGCUCGCAUAAUUAAACAUAAAAAUACUCGAUUCUAAUAGCAAGGUUUUGGACGUUUUUCGCUUUUUUAACCUUGCCAUAGCUAAUAAGGAGGUCGCCCGUCGAAACCGGGUUCCUAAUUAUCUUCUACCACUAAUUACCAACUGAAACACCCAUCAAUUAGUAGGUCAUAGGGCUAGGCCUGGGUAACUCAGUGCAUUUUUAAGAGUUGGCGCAGUGCCACGCAAAUGGCUGGCUGCGCCAACUUACGCACCGACGCAGUAACUCAGUUCCGUUGCUGGGAAAACGGUGAUGGCUUUUUUACUUGUUGUUAGAUUUAUUUUA